CAGACAGGGUUGUCGACAAAUACACACAUAUUAUACAAAAUGGCACACCGUGGAUAUUUGAGGAAUUGCAGAGAAUGGUGUGGAAUUUGAUAAACAGGUUCAUGACUGUUGAAAUACAACAGCAAUUCAACAUGCAAGGUCAGAACCGACGCAAAUUUGCAUUUGGAAAAACAGCUCUUUGCAGGGUUAUAGAAGAUGCCGUCUUGCAGAGCCAUGAUACAACAGUUUCCUUGAUAUGUGACAAGCUAGCAAACUACCUACGCUAUGCGUACUCAAGAAAGAACAAGGCUUGACUCAUACAACAGUUUCCUUGAUACAUGAAAAGAUAGCAUACUACCUAUGCUAUGCAUACUCUAGAAAGAACAAAACUUGACUCAUGAUGUGAUGUUGAAAUUAGUGUACCGUAUUUAAAAAAAAAAAAUGAAUGAAAACAAUAUUG